AUUGAACGCUGGCGGCAGGCCUAACACAUGCAAGUCGAGCGGAUGAGGAAAGCUUGCUUUUCGAUUCAGCGGCGGACGGGUGAGUAAUGCCUAGGAAUCUGCCUGUUAGUGGGGGAUAACUCGGGGAAACUCGGGCUAAUACCGCAUACGUCCUACGGGAGAAAGUGGGGGAUCUUCGGACCUCACGCUAACAGAUGAGCCUAGGUCGGAUUCGCUAGUAGGUGAGGUAAUGGCUCACCUAGGCGACGAUCCGUAACUGGUCUGAGAGGAUGUUCAGUCAGACUGGAACUGCGACAGGGUCCAGACUCCUACGGGAGGCAGCAGUGGGGAAUAUUGGACAAUGGGCGAAAGCCUGAUCCAGCCAUGCCGCGUGUGUGAAGAAGGUCUUCGGAUUGUAAAGCACUUUAAGUUGGGAGGAAGGGUAUUCACCUAAUACGUGGGUACUUUGACGUUACCAACAGAAUAAGCACCGGCUAACUCUGUGCCAGCAGCCGCCGUAAGAC
rnacentral:rRNA from 1 species